AAAAAUUGAAACCCAACCCAUUAUUAUCCUAGCCCAGUUGCUCAAAUCUAAACCUAGACAUUUCAUCCUCACCGCCUUUCUCUAGUGUCGCUUGUGUCCUCGACUGAACGAACUGAACAAAUUGAGCGGUUCUUCUUAAGUUAAAUACUCGAACGAGUAUCUGAAUCAAGAAUCGCGGAGUUCGGUUCGGUUCUCGAUUCUAGAUUAAGAAUUAAAAAAUCGAAUAAGUACCAAAUCUCGCUAAAUUUAAAUAAGCCAAAUAAUUCUUUUUCCUAAAUAAAUUUGUUAACUAGUAAAUUUAGCUCAAACUUAAAAAUAUGAUUUUUUUUUUUCUAUUUCUAAUUUUCAAUCCAUGCACAACUUAAUCAAAUUGAUGUAAGUUUUUUCCAAAUCUAUUUUUCUACCGUAGUAUCGUUUCUACCAUUAUAGAGAAAAUCGAAUUGAAGCUCAACAGUGCCUUUUUUAAUUAUUGUAAGCUCGUUAAUUAACAGUCAAAUCUAUGAAGAAUUCAACUAAUAGAGAUGCAAAUGUGUCAAUUGAAUCCACUAAUAGCAGCUGCCCCGCAACCCACAAGCCAUUGAUUCCACCAUCUCUACAAUCUUAGGCCCCCUUUGCCCCCAUUUGUGCAAAUGAAAAUGGGUGGAAAAAUGUUUUUUUUUUUUAAUUUAAUAUGAGUGGUUAAAGCAGGAGGAAAAGUUUUUCUGUUUAAUUGUAAUAUUAUUUAAGGUAAGAUUGUGUGGUUGAAAAUAGAAAAGAGAAAAAUGAAAUGUAAUAUAAUGAAAAUUAAUGUCGGCCAAACGAGGGCUUAAUCAUAAACCCUACCAUCUUCAAACACCCAAUUAUAGCAACAUUUAAACAACUUCAAUAAGCACAAAGAAAAAUUCAAUCAACAGUGAGUAGUUGUCUUGAUUUGUUUUAGUACAUUAGCAAAAAAGGGAGAAAGACGGAAUUGUUCUAUCUUAGAUAUUGGUAUUUGCUCUCGAUAGUUAUAGUUCGAGAAAAAAUUGUUCCUUUUUUCAUAAAAAAUGGAAUCCAAUUCCUAUUCAUAGCUAAGCAUUGUAAACCAAAUCUUGUUGGCCUUUGCAUCAAUUAUACAUCUGAAUAUAUCUCCAGCUUUCUAACCAUAUAUGACCCACAAUUAAAGCGGAUGUUUAUUCAGCUCAAAAUGCUAAUUAUGACUAUUUCUUUCACAAUCUAUGUAAAAGGAGUAUUAAAUGAUCUUAAAAUGAUAGAGUUGGGGAACUAAUUGAACAAAAAAUUCAAAACAUAAAAACCUGUAAUAUUUUUCCCAUAUUAGGAGAAGAAAACGUGGAAGAAUGGGUAGUUGAAGCAAUCCUAGAUCUAGUUUGUGCUUUAUUUAGGGAAUAUUUCCUUUUUUUUUCCUUCGACUAUUCUUGAUUCCUCGAGCUUUUAAUAUGGCAGCAUUGGAAUUUCGAAUGCUAUUGUUGGUUUAUGUUAAAGCAUACAAAAUAUGCACAAACUUGGAAUGGCUCCAUCCCUACUUUCAUUCCCUGUUCUUUAAGGGGCUGUGGAAGGCGACGACAAUGGAGCAUCAGUGGAUGUUGUUAGACAAAGUGGAGUUUACAAAUAAGAAGACAAUGAUCAUUUAUUUCAGGUAGUUUGGGAUAUUGUUAUAUGUACACAAAAUAAGUAAGUAAUAGUGAAUGAAUAUUAGCAAAUACAUUUUGAUUGUUUUGGGAAUGUAAAAGGUAAGAAAUGGACGACCAAAUUGUGGCAACAACGCUUUUGGCGGCAUUGGAAGCAUCAUGAUAACCAAGAGUAAUUGAUAAAUACUAUAGUCACUGUUGCGAAAGCUCUCUCCAAGGAUCUUCAAUUCAUUAUUUUCUAGGCUCAAUCCAAAGCACAUUUCUUUACCAACAACCAAUACAACCGUCACCGAUCCACAACCAAUAUAAUUUACCUUGAUUUCUAUUCAAUCUUACCCACGUAGGACAAUAAACAGUUAUUAUUUAUGGCCACAAAGGUUAGGAGAAAACACCACAAAUGUAGGCUAUGAAGGAAUCAUCAAUUACACAAAGUAAAUAAGCGUUUUGGACACUUUUAGGGGUCGUUUUUCACACACUUCAAGGGACAGCCAUGAUUCUCCUUUUCUCACACAAAACCACACAAAUCAUACUAGAAAGUGAUUAAGGUUAUUGCCUUAUAUGUAGUCUAGGGUUAGGCUUUAAGUUGAACCUCUAAGAGAUUUAAACGAGCUAAGAUUCAAGCCAUCCAAGAGGGAUUACAAUUGGUCCGGGUGGAGCUCAUGGACUUGGUUGUUGGACUUAUUUCAUUCAUCGGCAUAUGCCUAUGAAUAAUUAAUUCACGUU